AUCUAUAGCCAUACCACCCUGAAAGUGCCCUAUCUCGUCUGAUCUUGGAAGUUAAGCAGGGUCAGGCCUGGUUAGUACUUGGAUGGGAGAAAAUAAUUCUACAGUCU
ensembl:rRNA 5S_rRNA 5S ribosomal RNA